UACAGAGGUCUCAAGCGUUGUUCGGAUUCAUUGGGCGUAAAGGGUGCGUAGGUGGCGUGGUAAGUCGGGUGUGAAAUUUCGGAGCUUAACUCCGAAACUGCAUUCGAUACUGCCGUGCUUGAGGACUGGAGAGGAGACUGGAAUUUACGGUGUAGCAGUGAAAUGCGUAGAUAUCGUAAGGAAGACCAGUGGCGAAGGCGAGUCUCUGGACAGUUACUGACGCUGAGGCACGAAGGCCAGGGGAGCAAACGGG
rnacentral:rRNA from 1 species